UUUUAGCCCAGAUGGGAACGGCAUCCUUUUCUAUUUUUCUUUAAAAUAGAAAAGAUACAGUGGACAGCUGGAAAUAGC
rfam:Flavobacterium sp. LM5 Flavobacterium_sp_LM5_contig1, whole genome shotgun sequence.